ACCAGAACUGUAAAUUGCACGAAUAGUAAGUGGUUUUAUUAUCUAAUUCUUAGUCAGACUUUCAGUUGGUUUCUCUUCUGACAUCGUAAUCUGAAUAGUGUGAAGAUAACCCUGAUGACAGAGUAAGCUACAGACAGAAGGGGCACUGAGAUUUUUAGGUCUUGGAGGUUACCAGCUGGAAGCAGAAAAUGACAGUGGAGAGAAACUGGGUCCUGGUCUCGUGUUUGAGCCCUUGGAGUUCCUAUGACUGGACUUCACAGAAUCUUGGCUAUGCUUUGCACAGCUCCUGCUGCUCCGUAGUAACAUAUUGCCGUGCGAUGUCUUUACAGCCAUCGAACCCAGCAUCGAAUCUCAGACUUAUCACUUAGGAGUGCUAUAUAUUUGAAAAAGGUACUGAAUAUUUCUCCAUAUCAGUUUCUUAUUUUGCAGAGUGAGGAUAAUAACACCUCACUUGCUUGAAAUGAGGAGUAAAAAGAAAACACUUAAAACAAAGCACGGCGUAUGAUGGCUGCUUGUUAAAUAUGCUGCACCCUUUGUAGUUAAUUUCUAAGUCGAUGGGAUAUUUUCGGCUAGUCAAUGAUAAUUAUUGACCCCUGUAUUCUGUUUAUAGAUUUUUUCCUAUCCCUAAAUGUUUACUUGUAUCCCUAAAUGUUAGGAUAUUUCAUCUUUUCCUUUUACCUUAAAAGAGAGAGGGUCAGAAAGAAAGGGGAAAAGAAAUGUAAAUAAAUAUUACUCUUUGCUGCCUAGUUUGGUACCAGACAUGGCAAAAAAGGCUGUAGGCCUUCAUUUCAAUAACCCUUGAACUUGGAUUUUUGGUAGCAUAUUUCUUUGUUCUUGUACCUCCUUUAUGUUUAAAACUCUAUUUUCCUGCUAAUACUAUUUUCUCAGAAGAACAUUUUACUGGACAUUUUAAUUUUCUUGAAUGAUAGUGACUGCGGGAACUUCUGGUUUCACAUCCAUUUAGACACACCUGUAAUUUCAGAGGAGUUAUUAUGUGUUUCUGCAGCAUUCUAAUAGCUUAAAUGUGCCUUAAACACACAUGUUUUUAUUGUCAGUCUUCCUGUUUUACAGUCUCUGCAAUUCAGUCCUGCCUUCCCCACAUGGAAGACAGCUAAGAAACCUGCUCAGAUUUUUUUUUCUCGACUUCCCUGCUGCCAGCUCUUCUGCUCCCCUCUAUCCCAUAGGAAGCCAAGAGGCUGCUCAAAUUUCCUCUGUGGGGUAUGUCUCCCACCUGGCUUCUUCCUCUUCUGUUCCACAACAGGUGGUUAUUUUUGUACUGUCAACGCUCCCUACCCCCUGGCUGUCAGAAUGUAUUCCCAGUGGAAAUGCAGACAUUUGAGUUCCUUCCAGACUUCAAUGGGUAAAUUGCCAAUUUCCAUUUUCUGAAAAUAAUUUUCUUUUGAUGGAAUAAUCUUGUUCCCAAACCAUUCCGUUAAACCCAAAAACUGGAUUUUAGUCACACUUAAAAGUUAAAUCGGUGAUUUACCUGUUUGUUGCCGCUUUUCUUAUUUCUUUCAAAAGGUCUCCAAACGUGUAUCAUAUCGAGGUAACCAAUGAACAAUGAAAUCGGAAUUCUGGCAACCUCAUUUUUAAACCAUGUUGCCUCAUAGACUUCAGUGAACUUCUCCCUACCAUUAUUUUUGAGUCGGUAAAAAGCUAAUGAGUCAGAAUAUCUAAGGAUAGGACACAGGACUAUAAACUUAAAAAAUCUUCACCCCAGAUAAUAGGGAAUGUUAGUUUUGGUAGCCACUGGACAAAACAGUAUCUUAACAAUGGAAAAUGAAAAUGUUUAAUAUGUUUUUUUCCUUAUAGGAAGAGACUGGGAAAGCAAUGCCUUUUAUUUUCAGAAGGGGAAAAUGAAGGCCAAGGGACAAUAUGAGCAAAAUGAUAAAUGGCCUUAUCAAUAUAUAUCAGAUAUGAAUUUUUCCCAGCAGUCUCAGGAAUGUGAGAAAUGACACAUUAUAUUGUUUAAAGAUUUAUUGAACUUAAUUUUACUCUGAGCUCUCAUCUAGUUGAUCUGCUCAAAAAUUCAGUCUCUGUCGUUAUUGAAGAUUAUUCCGUGUCUCUUCCUGAAGGGUUGUGCAAAGGCUCGUAUCAUCUGAUACAGAGCAGAAUAUUACAGAAGGCCCCUCCAUUCUUGGUCCAUGUGGGUCAUCAUUAAUGGCCUCUCCAUUCUAGGCCUCAUGGUAACAUGGAGUCAGGAAGCACUCUGGCUCCGUCUGCACUUUUGGGCAUGAAAUUCUUGGCUUUGCCUGGAAGCCCAAUGCCUAGGGUGCACCAAAUCCCCCUCUGAGAAUAUGUCACCUUAUCAAACUCUAAGUGUCAACAGGACACUGAGGCUUGGAGCGCUGCUGCUCACAGUUCCUGCUGAUGUCUCUCCUUUCGCAGUUUUGGGUAAUCUCCCUGUCCUUACUCGCUGAUCAUUUGUUCUCCUACCCAUUGAUUUGCAAUCCUUUGCCACAUAUUACCCUCAGGAUGUGCUAUGAAUUCCAUGUACAAACAAGAUUAAAGCAGCUUUCAUCAACUUUUUCGUUACUAAGGAAAAAGGAGCUUUUGGGAAACAAAGGGCAAGGUGUGCAAUGGAAAGAACAUCAGCUUGAGAGCUCUACACAACUAGGCUUAAAAUUGGGAGUGGCCACUUAAGGGCAGGAGUAUGUCUGAGUCUAAUUCUCUCAUUCCUAAGGUGAGGACAGUAAUACUCACCUGCUCUAGAGGUAAUGUUGCUAAGGGGUAAUGUGUGUAAUACACCUGGCCCAGAUCAAUUGUUUUCUCGUUAUUACAUUACUGAUCAUUGACAUGAGGCUGGGUGGACCAUAAUGAACAAGGAAUGAAUUUAUAUGAGUAUUUAGGUGAUACUCUCAAGCAAAAGAGCUCUGUGCUUUUGAGUAUGUGAGUCCAAUUCUCCCUUUUCGUAAGACAUCUUUUUUCCUGUUCUUUCCUUCAACAAAUGCUUAUUACUUAAGAUAGAUCAUAUACUUUGCUAUAUUCUAAGAUUUUAAUAAUAUAAGCUAAUACAGCCUGUCACAGAGUCUAUAUUGAGGGGGGUCUGUGUGGGAGAGCAGUCAAUUAAAAUGAAGUGUGUUGAGUGCUUAGACAGAUGUUGUAAAGGGAACCUUGUAUGCACGGGGACAUCAGGCCAAGCCUGAGUGAUGAAGAGAAGUGAUAUCUAAGCAAAGAGAUCAUCAUCUUUUAUCUUAUUAAUUAAGGGACUAUCUGUUGCUUAGCUUUCUCUCAAGGGGCAAAAUUUUCUGUAGUUACUUGGCUCUGCUGUUCACACGUUAGAACACAGUAAGUACUUUUGCCAAAAUUCUCUUCCCUUGAUUAACUUAUAUCUAGUUGCAUCAGGUAAAAAAAAAAAAAAAGAAAAAGGAAAAAGGCUCUGAAGUCCACAGUGAUGUGUCUCAUGUUCUUUCUUCUCAUAACUUGCCUGUUGAAAAGAUUAAGGUGGUGAUAUUCCUUUUUCUCCUUAAACUGGGGAUAUUUUCUUCAUAAAAAAUUCUUAUUGGGAUAUCAAAUAUUUAAAACAGAAUAAAACCCAAGACGUGUUCCUUUUAAUUAAGAGCUUCUCAAAUUUUCUUCACCCUCUCCCCAUUACUCUUUCUUAUCACUCCAGAAAUCUCUCCACAGAGUAGUUUAGUUUGGAUAAAGUAAGACAGGUCUAGGGAGACACCAGGCUUUCUGGAAGGGAAUUCUGACGAAGUGAUGCAAACUGCCAUACCUGAAGUUCAGGAAGAUGGUCAGGAUGACAUUUCAAAUUACUUCCAAUGGUAAGAUUUUAUACGUAAAGGAUGCUUUAUUGAAAUCUGAACACCUUUUAUUCAGAACAGUUUUUCUUGUAUUUUAACCACGUUUUCUAGGCCAUAAGGAUUUAAAACCUGCCAAUGCCGCUGGAAAACAAUAUAAAAUAUUCUGUAAUGGAAUUUGAAGACAGGGCAAGAUGACAUAGUGUAGUCAGUCUUGUUCUUGUGGAAGGGCAGGUAAACUUUGUGUUUCUUCUUUUUUGAAGAAGAAGAAGAUUAGCCCUGAGCUAUC